GUUAAGCGACUAAGCGUACACGGUGGAUGCCCUGGCAGUCAGAGGCGAUGAAGGGCGUGCUAAUCUGCGAUAAGCGCCGGUAAGGUGAUAUGAACCGUUAUAACCGGCGAUACCCGAAUGGGGAAACCCAGUGUGAUUCGUCACACUAUCAUUAACUGAAUCCAUAGGUUAAUGAGGCGAACCGGGGGAACUGAAACAUCUAAGUACCCCGAGGAAAAGAAAUCAACCGAGAUUCCCCCAGUAGCGGCGAGCGAACGGGGAGGAGCCCAGAGCCUGAAUCAGCAUGUGUGUUAGUGGAAGCGUCUGGAAAGGCGCGCGAUACAGGGUGACAGCCCCGUACACAAAAGCGCAUGUGCUGUGAGCUCGAUGAGUAGGGCGGGACACGUGGUAUCCUGUCUGAAUAUGGGGGGACCAUCCUCCAAGGCUAAAUACUCCUGACUGACCGAUAGUGAACCAGUACCGUGAGGGAAAGGCGAAAAGAACCCCGGCGAGGGGAGUGAAAAAGAACCUGAAACCGUGUACGUACAAGCAGUGGGAGCACCCUUUGGGGUGUGACUGCGUACCUUUUGUAUAAUGGGUCAGCGACUUAUAUUCUGUAGCAAGGUUAACCGUAUAGGGGAGCCGGAGGGAAACCGAGUCUUAAUUGGGCGUUAAGUUGCAGGGUAUAGACCCGAAACCCGGUGAUCUAGCCAUGGGCAGGUUGAAGGUUGGGUAACACUAACUGGAGGACCGAACCGACUAAUGUUGAAAAAUUAGCGGAUGACCUGUGGCUGGGGGUGAAAGGCCAAUCAAACCGGGAGAUAGCUGGUUCUCCCCGAAAGCUAUUUAGGUAGCGCCUCGUGAAUUCAUCUCCGGGGGUAGAGCACUGUUUCGGCUAGGGGGCCAUCCCGGCUUACCAACCCGAUGCAAACUGCGAAUACCGGAGAAUGUUAUCACGGGAGACACACGGCGGGUGCUAACGUCCGUCGUGAAGAGGGAAACAACCCAGACCGCCAGCUAAGGUCCCAAAGUCAUGGUUAAGUGGGAAACGAUGUGGGAAGGCCCAGACAGCCAGGAUGUUGGCUUAGAAGCAGCCAUCAUUUAAAGAAAGCGUAAUAGCUCACUGGUCGAGUCGGCCUGCGCGGAAGAUGUAACGGGGCUAAACCAU
rnacentral:rRNA from 1 species